rnacentral:lncRNA from 1 species
AGGUUUCAUUACCAAAAAAAAAUAAAUAAAAAAUUAAUUCAAAUUAAGUGAGACAUAGUAGUAAACUAUGUAUACUAUAGUAAACAUACUAUCUUUCUUGAAUUAGCUCAGGAAGAAAAAUUGUUGACUGCCCAGUAAAAGAAAGCAGGGCAACUUCUCUUUCUGACUGAAGGGCAGAUCUCAUGUGAGCUUACAGAGGAAAUCUACAUGAACAGAAAGGCCCUUCCAUGCUUGUUGAAAGAAGACAGUCAACGAAAUAAGAGACAGAGAAAUAAAAUACUUGUAAAACUUUCCUUUGUAAUUUUGAUGUAUGUAACUUCAUACAAUAGCAUGUGGUUUCACAUAUUACUAACAAAGAUGACUGACUAGAAAGAUAAUUCAGCCAUUUAUUUCUACUCUUUAGUGAUGAGAAUAUCAAUCACAGCUCAAGUCUGAAAUAAUAGGAUUAUCUACAAUAACAAACACAUUCCUUUCUUUUUUUCAUCUCCUUUCCUUUCUCCUUUCUUUUAUUUUCCUUCUGUUUUUCUCUUUUCCUUAUCUAAGGUUAUACUUUUUGAUUUGUUUGUUUUCAUUUGCAAAUGUACUAGAGCACUGGUCUUACUUCUGUGGUAUACGUCAUUGAAUCAUAUUAUAGAACGGCUUGGGUUGGAAGAGGCAUUAAAGAUCAUUAAAGAAGGGUGUUCCAACACACUUCCAUGGGUAGGAAUACCACCCACUAGAUCAGGUUGCCCAGGGCCUCAUUCAACCUGGCCUUGAACGUCUCCAAGGGCAUCCACAACUUCUCCAGGCAACCUGUGCCAGUGCCUCACCACGCUCUGAGUGAAGAAUUUUCCUCUAACCUCUAAUCUAAGUCUCCCCUCUUUUACUUAAAACCAUUCACUCUUGUCCUAUUAUUAUCUGCCCAAGCAAACAGUUGCUAUCUCUUUUUUUUCUUUUUUUUUUUUUUUUUUUUUUUUUUUUUUUUUAUCUCUUUUUUUUUUUUUUUUUUUUUUGUCAGCUCCCCCCCCUUAAGUAUUGAAAAGUUGCAUUAAGAUCACCCCUGAGACUUCUCUUCUUCAGGCUUUAUAACCCCAGCUCUCUCAGCCUUUCUUCACAGGAGUGGUUCUCCAGCCCUCUGAUCAUCUUUGUGGCCCUCCUCUGGACCUACUUUAACAGAUCCACAUACUUCUUGUGCUGGGGACCCUAGACUUGGGUGCAGACUCUAGGUGGGGCCUCACAAGGCAGAGUAGAAGGGAAAAAUCACUUCCUGUGACCUGCUGGCCACUCGUCUUUUGAUGCAGCCCGGGAUGCAGUUGGCCUUCUGGGCUGCAAGUGCACAUUGUUGGCUCAUGUCAAGCUUUUCUUCCACUAAGUCCAUCUGUGCAGGGCUGCUCUCAAUGACUUAUUCUCCCAGUCUGUAUUCAUGUCUGGGAUUGCCCUGACCCAGCUGUCACACCUUGCCAGGUGUCAUCUGCAAACUUGCUGAGGGUGCACUUGAUCCCACUGUUUAUGUCAUUUAUAAAGAUAUUAUAAAUGUAUAAACAGUACUGGUCCCAAGACAGAUCCGUGAGUAUAUACAUGAAUUUAGACACUGUACUAAAAUAGGAAUGUGGUUUUUGUAAGUUUUUUUGAUGUUAUUGUUUUGAGAACAAAGGCAAAUAUUUGGCUACAUAAACAUGGCUGAGGCUACAGUUGCUGGUCAUUCCACUCUACAGAGAUGAUGAUACUAUAAUUCUAUGACUUUACUGCCAAGAUAGCCAUCCUCUCUGAGACAAUAAGAAUCAUUAGAUCACCAGUUUCUUUAAAAGACCAAAAAUAAAUAUAAGUGGUAGAAAACA